rnacentral:lncRNA from 7 species
AAGAAAAGAAAAAAUAAUAGAUGAAAAAAGAGAAAACGAAAGGAAAAAUGGUUAAUGGCAAGAGAAGAAAAGGUAAAGAGAAAAGAAGAAAACAGCCAAGUCAAAAAGUAAAGAAUAACUCGAAGGAAGGAGUGGAUGGCAAGAAAUACAGGGAAAGCAAUGCAUAGCACAGCAAAGCAAAGCAAGGCAAAAUAGCAGCCAAAGCCACGAGAAUCAAGAAGUCAGUGAAGAGCAGGAAAGGAAUGGAGGAAUCUGGCCAGAGCUGUGCCCCUGCUUGCCACAGGAGCUGCGCGGGAGGAGAAGAAUGUGGGCCAAAAGGUAAGAGGAGCUCCUUUGGGUUCUGGGCUUGAAGCAAAGCUGAGAAGCCAUGCCCGGGAGGAGGUGUGGGUAGCUACAGGCCACCUUGCUAUCUCCCCAAGAGAUGAGGUGUGUGGGCUAGGCACCGGGCAGGAGUGCUGGCCAGAAGCAAGCAUCUCUGUGGAGGAAGGCAAAGGGCGGAGGAGGUUCAAGGGUAGCUACCGGGCAUGGCCUUGCUCAGCAAGGGAGGAAAAGCCUGAAGGGCACGAGAAGGGGAUAGAGAAGGGCAGGCAGUAGGCGUGAAGCUGUGAGCAGAGUAGAGAGCAACUUGGCAGAGCAGCAAGCAGAGUAGGCAAGUGUGAGGUUUGGCGUGAGUAGCAGCAAAAGCCCAGAGCAUCAAGAAGCAGGAAGUGAGGAGAAGGUAAGUGAAGGGCAGGCAAGGUAAUGGGAGGCAAAGGCAAGGGGAAAGGGGGGG